rnacentral:lncRNA from 1 species
CUAAAAAUUUUUCCCACAUUGUAAGUUGUCUGUUAGCUCUGUUGGUGGUUUCUCUUGCAGUUCAUACAGUUCAGAAGCUUUUUAAUAAGAUGAGAUCCCAGUUGUUCAUUCUUUGUGCUAGUUCCCCUGCUACUGAGGUUUUGUUCAUAAAGUCUUUUCCUAUUCCAAUGACUCUAAGAGUUCUACCUAACUUAUCUUCCAGCAAGUUUAGUGUUUCUGUCUUAAUAUUUAGAUCUUUAAUCCACUUUGAUCUUAGUUUAGUGCAUGGUGAUAGGUAUGGGUCUAGUUUUAAUCUUUGGCAGGUUGAAAUCCAAUUUUUCCAACACCAUUUAUUAAAUAGGCUAUCUUUCCUCCAAUGAGGGUGGUUGGCUCCUUUGUCAAAGAUGAGGUGGCUGAGUAUGUCUGGAAUUGCUUCUGCAUCUUCUAAUCUAUUCCACUGAUCCUUGGGUCUGUUUCUUUGCCAGUAUCAUGCUGUUUUUAUCACAGUAGCUUUGUAGUAUAGCUUCAGG